rnacentral:rRNA from 1 species
AACUUAAAUGAAUUGACGGGGCCCGCACAAGCAGCGGAGCGUGUGGUUUAAUUCGAUGAUACGCGAAGAACCUCACCCAGGUUUGACAUGCAUGUGGUACCAAGGUGAAAGCUGAGGGACCCUUCGGGGAGCAUGCACAGGUGUUGCACGGCCGUCGUCAGCUCGUGCCGUGAGGUGUUGGGUUAAGUCCCGCAACGAGCGCAACCCCUGUCGCCAGUUGUAUUUUUCUGGCGAGACUGCCGAGAAAACCUCGGAGGAAGGAGGGGACGAUGUCAGGUCAGCGUGGCCCUUACGCCUGGGGCUACACACACGCUACAAUGGGCAGUACAACGGGUCGCGAAGCCGCGAGGUGGAGCUAAUCCCAUCAAAGCUGUCCUCAGUUCGGACUGCAGGCUGAAACCCGCCUGUAUGAAGCCGGAGUUGCUAGUAACCGCAGGUCAGCAUUACUGCGGUGAAUACGUUCCCGGGCCUU